CAGUCGCCGCGGGAAUACGAAGGUCCCGAGCGUUGUUCGGAAUCACUGGGCGUAAAGGGAGCGUAGGCGGUAUGGUAAGUCAGAUGUGAAAUCCCGGGGCUCAACCCCGGAACUGCAUCCGAUACUGCCGUGCUAGAGGACUGGAGAGGCAACUGGAAUUCUCGGUGUAGCAGUGAAAUGCGUGGAGAUCGAGAGGAACACUCGUGGCGAAAGCGAGUUGCUGGACAGUAUCUGACGCUGAGGCUCGAAGGCCAGGGUAGCGAAAGGGAUUAGAGACCCGCGUAGUCCCUGUCUCUUAUAC
rnacentral:rRNA from 1 species